rnacentral:rRNA from 1 species
GCAAAACGCGAAGAACCUUACCCACCUUUGACAUGUACGGAAUCCUUUAGAGAUAGAGGAGUGCUCGAAAGAGAGCCGUAACACAGGUGCUGCAUGGCUGUCGUCAGCUCGUGUCGUGAGAUGUUGGGUUAAGUCCCGCAACGAGCGCAACCCUUGCCAUUAGUUGCUACGAAAGGGCACUCUAAUGGGACUGCCGGUGACAAACCGGAGGAAGGUGGGGAUGACGUCAAGUCCUCAUGGCCCUUAUAGGUGGGGCUACACACGUCAUACAAUGGCUGGUACAAAGGGUUGCCAACCCGCGAGGGGAGCUAAUCCCAUAAAGCCAGUCGUAGUCCGGAUCGCAGUCUGCAACUCGACUGCGUGAAGUCGGAAUCGCUAGUAAUCGUGGAUCAGAAUGUCACGGUGAAUACGUUCCCGGGUC